rnacentral:rRNA from 1 species
UACGAAGGGGGCUAGCGUUGUUCGGAAGCACUGGGCGUAAAGCGCACGCAGGCGGAUCGAUAAGUCGGGGGUGAAAGCCCGGGGCUCAACCUCGGAAUUGCCUUCGAUACUGUCGGUCUCGAGUCCGGGAGAGGUGAGUGGAAUUCCUAGUGUAGAGGUGAAAUUCGUAGAUAUUAGGAAUAACACCAGUGGCGAAGGCGGCUCACUGGACCGGUACUGACGCUCAGGUGCGAAAGCGUGGGGAGCAAACAGG